rnacentral:rRNA from 1 species
CCUACGGGGGGCAGCAGUGGGGAAUAUUGGACAAUGGGGGGAACCCUGAUCCAGCCAUGCCGCGUGUGUGAAGAAGGCCCUCGGGUUGUAAAGCACUUUCAGUGAGGAAGAACGCCUGGUGGUUAAUACCCAUCAGGAAAGACAUCACUCACAGAAGAAGCACCGGCUAACUCCGUGCCAGCAGCCGCGGUAAUACGGAGGGUGCGAGCGUUAAUCGGAAUUACUGGGCGUAAAGCGCGCGUAGGUGGCUUGAUAAGCCGGUUGUGAAAGCCCCGGGCUCAACCUGGGAACGGCAUCCGGAACUGUCAAGCUAGAGUGCAGGAGAGGAAGGUAGAAUUCCCGGUGUAGCGGUGAAAUGCGUAGAGAUCGGGAGGAACACCAGUGGCGAAGGCGGCCUUCUGGACUGACACUGACACUGAGGUGCGAAAGCGUGGGUAGCAAACAGGAUUAGAUACCCCAGUAGUC